GUCGAACGCGCAGCAUUCUGUAGCAAUACAGGGUGUGGGCGCGUGGCGAACGGGUGCGUAACACGUGGAUAACCUUCCUUCAGGUGGGGAAUAACCCAGUGAAAAUUGGGCUAAUACCGCAUAACAUGACGAUGGCACAUGCUGUUGUCUUCAAAGGCGCAAGUCGCCAGAAGAGGGAUCCGCGGCCGAUUAGCUUGUUGGCGAGGUAAUGGCUCACCAAGGCAUUGAUCGGUAGCCGGACUGAGAGGUUGACCGGCCACACUGGAACUGAGACACGGUCCAGACUCCUACGGGAGGCAGCAGUGGGGAAUCUUGCACAAUGGACGAAAGUCUGAUGCAGCAACGCCGCGUGGGGGAUGAAGCUUCUCGGAGUGUAAACCCCUUUCGACCCGGAAGAAUGCCCGCAAGGGCUUGACGGUACGGGUAUAAGAAGCCCCGGCUAACUACGUGCCAGCAGCCGCGGUAAUACGUAGGGGGCCAGCGUUGCUCGGAAUUACUGGGCGUAAAGGGUCCGUAGGCGGUGCGGCAAGUCGAGAGUGAAAUCCCUAGGCUUAACCUA
rnacentral:rRNA from 1 species